UACAGAGGUCUCGAGCGUUGUUCGGAUUCAUUGGGCGUAAAGGGUGCGUAGGCGGCGCGGUAAGUCGGGUGUGAAAUCUCGGAGCUUAACUCCGAAACUGCAUUCGAUACUGGCGUGCUUGAGGACUGGAGAGGAGACUGGAAUUUACGGUGUAGCGGUGAAAUGCGUAGAUAUCGUAAGGAAGACCAGUGGCGAAGGCGGGUCUCUGGACAGUUCCUGACGCUGAGGCACGAAGGCCAGGGGAGCAAACGGG
rnacentral:rRNA from 1 species